AGGGGUAUAGUUAAAUUUAUAACAUUUAAUUUGCAUUUAAAAAUUACUAUCAUUUUAGUUUUCCUUA
rnacentral:tRNA from 1 species